GUGAACACAGGGGGAUCUGAUCACCAGUCAGGAACCCGAACUAAAACCAGAAAUCAAAAAGAGGGGAAACGGGCCCAGAGCUCUCGGAUAACCGCGGCAACUUUUCACUCAUAAAACUCGACGUGCACGAAGAAUCCGCGCAGGAAAAGGAACCGUGAGUAUUGCGGGGGGACAGCGUCUUAGCCCAGUCUCGGGAGCUGUGUGCACAUUCCUCCCUGGAGCAGGGAACCCCCGUGAGGAGGAGCCAGAGAUGGGGGCAUCGAACCAGCUGACUGAGACAACAGCCCAGUGAUGGCAG